AAAGGGUGCGUAGGCGGCCUGUUAAGUCAGGGGUGAAAGACGGUAGCUCAACUAUCGCAGUGCCCUUGAUACUGAUGGGCUUGAAUGUACUAGAGGUAGGCGGAAUGUGACAAGUAGCGGUGAAAUGCAUAGAUAUGUCACAGAACACCAAUUGCGAAGGCAGCUUACUAUGGUAUGAUUGACGCUGAGGCACGAAAGCGUGGGGAUCAAACAGGAUUAGAUACCCUUGU
rnacentral:rRNA from 1 species